AAGAUUCUUCCUAGACACAUCCCAAUUUGAUUGUAUUUUCAAGAUCAGCCCAACUCAACUCAGUAAAGCUACUUUCAGUUCAAGUCUCAACUCAAGAUUCUAUUUUCAACUCAAUUACAGCACAACGCUCUCUCCCACUCCUGAGAAAAUAUAGAUUAAUAAAGCAAAAACAUAGUGGAAGAUUUGGUGAAAGAUAAGGUUGCCGUUCGCCAAACACCACCGGAUCUGAGAAUCUAGGGUUUUGAUUCUACUCGUCGAUGAUGGCGAGUCCUAACUCAGGAAGACUCGCAAUCACGCCGAGUUCAAGAAUCUUGCACAGUCCUAUGACUGAUGAAACUAUCUGGAAGAGACUCAGAGAGGCCGGACUCGAUGAAGAGUCGAUUAAACGAAGAGACAAGGCCGCUCUCAUUGCUUACAUAGCAAAGCUUGAAGCUGAGAUCUUUGACCUCCAACACCAUAUGGGCCUUCUGAUAUUGGAAAGAAAGGAGUUAGCUUCCAAGUAUGAGCAAAUUAAUGCCGCUGCUGAAGCAGCUGAAAUACUGCAGAAGCGUGACCAUGCUGUACACUUAUCUGCUUUGGCAGAAGCAAAGAAACGAGAAGAAAAAUUGCAGAAAGCAUUAGGUGUUGAGAAAGAGUGUUUAGCUAGUAUUGAGAAGGCUCUGCACGAGAUGCGUGCAGAAUCUGCUGAAACAAAGGUUGCAGCUGAGUGUAAAUCGGCUGAAGCCCACAUUAUGAUUGAAGAUGCUCAGAGAAAAUAUGUAGAGGCUGAAGCAAAGUUGCAUGCUGCAGAAUCUUUACAAGCUGAGGCUAACAGGUUUCAUCGUGCUGCAGAAAGAAAGUUGAAGGAAGUCGAGAUGCGUGAAGAUGAUCUUUCUAAGCGCAUUGUAUCUUUUAAGUCUGAUUGUGAUGAGAAAGAGAAAGAUAUCACUCUUGAGAGGCAAUCAUUAAGUGAAAGGAAGAAGAUUCUGCAGCAAGAACAUGAAAGAUUGCUCGAUGCACAAACUUCACUGAAUCAAAGGGAAGACCUCAUCUUUAGUAAAUCUCAGGAACUAAGUCGACUUGAAAGAGAGUUAGAGGCCUCGAGAGCAAGUUUUGAGGAGAAACUUGCAGCCUUAAAGGAAGAAAAAUACAACAUAGAACUCUCCAGGCUUGCCUUAUCAAAAAGAGAAGAGGCCAUUAUUGAGAGGGAAGCUUUGCUGAAUAAUCAGGAGCAGGAGCUACUUGUUGCAAAGGAAAAACUUGCAAGCAAAGAAUCUGAUGAAAUUCAAAAGGCAGUUGCCAAUCAUGAUUCUAUUUUAAGAGUAAAGAAGUUGGAAUUUGAGGCUGAGUUAGAGAGGAGGAGAAAAUUGGUGGAGGAUGAAAUUGAGACCAAAAGGCGAGCAUGGGAGUUGAAGGAAAUGGAUCUUAGUCAGCGGGAGGAUGUGCUUCUGGAAAAGGAACAUGACUUAGAGGUUCAGUCAAGGGCAUUGGCAGAUAAAGAGAAGGAUGUGAUAGAGAGAACAAAUCUACUUGAUGAGAAGGAAUUUCGUUUGAUUGCUUCUGCAAAGGAGGUUGAACUGAAGAUUUCACUUCUACAAAAAGAAAAAGAGGAUGCUAACAAAAAGAAUUUAGACCUUCAGAAUUUUUCAGCUUCACUGGAUGACAAACAGAAAGAAGUUUGUCAUGCAGAGGAGAAACUGGAGGCCCUGAGAGGUGAAACAAAUGAACUAUCAAUCUUAGAGAUGAAACUUAAAGAAGAACUUGAUAUGGUCAGGGCUCAGAAACUGGAACUUGUGGCCAAGGUAGACAAAUUGCAAGCAGAGAAAACAAAGUUUGAAACAGAGUGGGAGUUCAUGGAUGAAAAAAGAGAAGAGCUGCGGAAUGAAGUAGAACGUGUUGCUAUUGAGAGAGAGGCCAUUUCAAAGUUUCUUCAGGAUGAGCGUGAUUGCCUUCGACAAGAGAGGAAUGCAAUGCGAGAUCAGCAUAAACGGGAUGUGGAAUCACUGAAUCAUGAGCGGGAAGAAUUCAUGAACAAGAUGGUUCAUGAGCAUUCUGAGUGGUUCAGCAAGAUUCAGAGGGAGCGUGCUGAUUUCUUAUUGGGUAUUGAGAUGCGGAAAAGGGAACUGGAGGACUGUAUUGAGAAAAGACGUGAAGAAUUAGAAAGUUCUUUUAGAGAAAAAGAGAAGACCUUUGAAGAAGAAAAGAAGAAUGAACUUGAGCAUAUUAGCCAGCUUAGGGAAAAAGCAGAGAAAGAAUUGGAGCAAGUCACUUCGGAAAUGAAGAGGCUUGAUGCUGAGAGAAUUGAGAUCAAUUUAGAUCGUCAAAGAAGGGACAGGGAAUGGGCAGAACUAAAUAAUUCCAUUGAGGAGUUGAAGUUGCAAAGGCAGAAAUUGGAAAAACAGAGAGAAUCGCUGCAUGCUGAUAGAGAAGAGAUUCAAACUGAGAUCGAACACUUGACGAAAUUGGAGGAUUUGAAAAUAGCUGUAGAUUAUAUGGCUGUGAGUGAGAUGCAACACUCAAGACUGGAGCAUACGCAGCAGAAAAAAUCUGCCAAAAGAUAUUCAAAGCCGCAAAGUCCUGUAUCACAUGUUGAUUUGGUUUCACGAAGUAAUAUACAUGUUACUGACAAUGACAAUGGAUUUGAUUCUCCUUCCUUGCAAAAAGAAAAUGGUUCUUCUCAUCACAGCUCUGCUCGCUUUUCAUGGAUCAAGAAAUGCACUGAUUUGUUGUUUAAAUAUUCCCCUGAGAAGCCCUCAUCGAAGGAUGAGGAUAAGUUUAUGAUGUCUGACCAUGAAGAUGCAAGCUUGGCUACUUCUAGUAAGAGGCGAUCUGUGAGAUUUGCAUUUGGAGAACCAAAGGUGAUUCUUGAAGUUCCCCCUGAAGAUAAGGAUGCCAAAGGAACACAUGAUUUGGAAUCUGAUGUCAAGAAAGAUGCCUCUGAAAAGUGUUUGCAAUCAAUAUCAGAGGAUGUACUUCAGGCUGGAAGGAAAAGAAGGGCUGAUAACUCUGUUUCUAGUGGAUUUGUUGAUCCAUCAGAACAGCAAAUGCAGAAGAAUAAAAAGAGUAGGCAUCAACAAGAUGUCCCUGCAAAUCCAUCCGAGGAGGCCUCCACCCACCAUUUGAAACAUUUGAUGUAUGUGUGUCAGUGUAAUUUCAAAAGAACCAAGUGUGCAAGAGGAUCAACAUGCAGUCAUCUCAUCAAUUCAUAAUCAAGCAGGUUCUGAGGAGACCAGUGUAUUAAUUAUAGAUAAAAUCAUCAGAAUUUCAGAAGUGACUUGUGAAAAGACUGAUGCUCAAGAUAUCAUCAAUCAAGAAAAAUCAGGUCAUGUGCAGAAUCCUGUUGAUGGACUAGAUCUGGAUGUUGUUAGUGCUGGAGGAAAGAAUGUUCUUUCAGGUUUUACCGAGUCUAGUCAGUUUCAGGAAGAUGAUGUAUCUGGAAAGAUCAAUCAGAAGCUUAAUGAGCAAGAUCUUGGCCAAUCUGACAAUUCCAAGGAAGAUGAGCAAAUUGCAAAGAGGACAAGAUCAAAACUGAAGAAUUAGAAGCAGCUCUGCUACAGUUACCAUGGCUAUUAACAGUUGGAGGAUUUUCUUAAAUAUCACGCAGACUUAUCUUACCUGGGCAGUGAGCGAAUUGUAGAUGACUUAGCUAGCUAUGAUUUUGUGAGAUAUUUGUAAAUCUUUUGUCCAUCCUAUAUGUGGUUUCCGUGUGUGGGGUUUUCUUUAGGUUUGUAUAAUGGUAUGGCUUAUGGGUAGUUUCGUAGUUUUUGUCUCAUUUGGUGAGUUGGCAGAUGAUUACCGUUUCUUGAAAUUGGUGGUGAUGAGUUUUAGGUUGUCUUUAUUUGAAAAAUACAAGUGGUAAAGUUUUUUACACCAUUAUAUUACCAUAAUUUCUUUUUCAUUAA